AGCUCCAAUAGCGUAUAUUAAAGUUGUUGCAGUUAAAAAGCUCGUAGUUGGAUUUCGGAACCGGCCGAUUGGUCCGCCCAUUGGGUCGUGUACUGAUCGGUCGUUUCUUCUUCGCGAAGACCGCGUGUGCCCUUAACUGGGUGGGCGUGGGAUUCACGACGUUUACUUUGAAAAAAUUAGAGUGUUCAAAGCAGGCAUUCGCUUGAAUAUCUCAGCAUGGAAUAAUAGAAUAGGAAUUUGGUCUUAUUUUGUUGGUUUCCGAGACCGAAGUAAUGAUUAAUAGGGACAGUUGGGGGCAUUCGUAUUUCAUUGUCAGAGGUGAAAUUCUUGGAUUUAUGAAAGACGAACUUCUGCGAAAGCAUUUGCCAAGGAUGUUUUCA
rnacentral:rRNA from 1 species